UUUGUAUUUCCCAUUCUGUAAAUUUUGAUGCUGUGCUUUAUCGAUCUUUCCAGGAGUCGGGCAAUGACACCAUCACAGCUGCGCCUACUGACAGUGAUUGUGAGAUACAGGAGAUGUGGCCCACGUGAAGCUGGGGGUGCCUUGGCACCUGUGCAGUAUGGCACAUACUUGGGAGAGGCAGCGCUCUGCAUGGGGAUCUGUGAGACCCAGUUUGUCGGUUAUGUCACGUUACCUCUCGAAUAAGGCUUUGUGACAUCCAGUCAGCCGGAAUGGAGCCUGUUACUGGGCUGCUUAGUCUCAGUAGGGGUUGAAGUCCGGGGCCACACUUUCUGCCCAGCUUACAGGCUCUGUAGCUAUAGUGAAUGCCUUUGAAAAGCAGUAGCAUGAUGGACUUACACCCUUUCAAUAGCUUCAUAUAAGAUUCCCAACAAGAAUGAGGUACUUCACAAUCUGCUUGAUUCCCAAAUGGCAGGUGCCUACAGAAGGAAGUGGACUUCUCUGUCUGGUCCUGACAGCUGACUUAGGACGGCAUUUUGGCAAAAACUCAACAUCUGGGAAAGCUCUUGGUGCAGAUGUUGUCCCCGAAAGGUGGAAAGGGAGAGGUCCUUUCUUGCAUUCCUCCCAGAGACUGGGAAGCCUGUGUGGGUGGGGCCUCGCAAGGGGAGACCUGCCUGGAACUCAAGGGAGAGGAGUCCUCACCACUUCCUAACGAUUCCAACCUGGAGCCUGUUCUGGCUUUUUUCUUUUUUUGGGAGUGAAGGAAGAGCAGGAAGGUGUGGUUUGACAACAGUGAGCUCUCUUCUCCAGUCUUGAUGUGGACAUGUCUGUCCCUCAGCAGCACCGGCCUCUGGGGAGAAGGGCCCUGGGUCGGUCAUACCCAGAGCCAUAGAAAGGGCUGGCUAGAACAGCUUGGCCUUACGGCUCACAGUUCAUCUUAGCUGAGGUUUCCUGGGACAGGAAAAAUUGGUGACACAAAGAUGUGACAAAUCUAUAGCCUGAUGCCAUCAGGAAUUGGAAGUGUCCCCUCAAGCCAGCAGGCUAGAAAUAGGUGUUAGCUGGGCAUGGUGGCUCACACCUGUAAUCCCAGCACUUUGGGAGGGAGG
rnacentral:lncRNA from 1 species